GAUGAACGCUGGCGGCGUGCCUAAUACAUGCAAGUCGAGCGAACAGACGAGGAGCUUGCUCCUCUGACGUUAGCGGCGGACGGGUGAGUAACACGUGGAUAACCUACCUAUAAGACUGGGAUAACUUCGGGAAACCGGAGCUAAUACCGGAGAAUAUAUUGAACCGCAUGGUUCAAUAGUGAAAGACGGCUUUGCUGUCACUUAUAGAUGGAUCCGCGCCGCAUUAGCUAGUUGGUAAGGUAACGGCUUACCAAGGCAACGAUGCGUAGCCGACCUGAGAGGAUGAUCGGCCACACUGGAACUGAGACACGGUCCAGACUCCUACGGGAGGCAGCAGUAGGGAAUCUUCCGCAAUGGGCGCAAGCCUGACGGAGCAACGCCGCGUGAGUGAUGAAGGUCUUCGGAUCGUAAAGCUCUGUUAUUGGGGAAGAACAAAUGUGUAAGUAACUCUGCCCGUCUUGACGGUACCUAAUCAGAAAGCCACGGCUAACUACGUG
rnacentral:rRNA from 1 species